rnacentral:lncRNA from 1 species
CUACAGUAUCACUUUUACUUGUUUAUUUUUUAAUUGCUGAUACAGAUGCAUCCAUAAUAAAUAUUUGGUUUUUGUGAUGCUGAAACACAGUCCCAAUUACAAGGCAACUUAGAAGUUAAAACUGAAACUGAAAUAUAAACAGCUUAACACCAGAAGGAAGCAAAACUAUAUAUGUCUUUUUGCAACAGCAGUUCCGAAAUUGUUUUUAUACACUGUAACAACAAAGGUACCAACUUCCUUAUUUCACAAAUUUAAGUUUGGUUUAUAUAUUUUAUUGACAUGGUUACUCAAUGUCCACAUCAUUCCAUCUGCAUCGUCUUCCUACAAACAGUUUUUCUUCUACUAUUCGGUUAUUUCUCCUUUUUUUGUUUCCUAUUUCAGAAUCAAAUUUAUUUUACUUGCAAAGUCAGUGGAAUAUGGUUUGGAACCAGUAGGGCCUCUAACUUAAGCCCAGAACCUGUCAAAGAGAAGUGCAGUAUCAUUGCUAAGACUUGAACAGUUUAUCUCUCAGAAUCUUCAGUUCCUUUGAAUUUCUCAGCUCUUAGUGUAAUCUGUUUUAUGUGUUUGUUGUAGACUUCCAUUAUGGAUAGAUUUCCAAAAUAAUUUGGGUAAUCAACUGGUAUUUUAGCAUUCUGGUAACUAACAUGUUUAAAAAUCUAAGGCUCUUUUUCAUGCAAAGGAGACUGAUUUUUGCUUUCAAAAGCAUAGGCAGGAAACCUUAGGUUCAAAGGUAGUAAAUAAUGAUGAGCAAAUUGCUAGUGAUGAUACAGCUGCAGCUUCCGUUGUGUAUUUGUUUGGCUCAGGUACUCUAGAAAUGAGAAUUCUUAGAAUUACAUAGCAGAAGUGAUAUGUUGCCUGGAUACCACACUACCAGAGGAAUAAAAAUGUAGUUAGAGUAAGGGGUUUUAUAUUUUACAAUGAGACAGUGUUAGUGUAAGAAGCAUUCCAAAUACGCCAGUUCUCUUAAACCCAUAGCAGACAUUUAUAUGUUAAUUCCUCAAUGUCUCAUUUCCCACCUUUUUUAGAGGAAGAAAAUACUCAGGCUAAAACUUUCACCCAAGCAUAAACUCCUGGGGACUUUACAAGAAUUUUGUUUUUUGCACUAUGUGACGACACGAUUGUGAGAAUUAAAUAUAGGAGUGAAAAACCAGAGAAAUGGGGCAAAAUCCCAGAUUAGUCUUUCCUCUUUAAGCAUCUGCUUCCCAUUUUAGAAACAUGCUUUCAUCACCACAUUCAGCAUCAAUUUUUUUCUUUCCUCUAACCUGCUCUUCUUUUAAAAAGUAUUCUGGGCCGGGCAUGGUGGCUCACACCUGUAAUCCUAGCACUUUGUGGGGCCGAGGUGGGUGGAUCACCUGAGGUCAGGCGUUUUGAGACCAGCCUGGUCAACAUGGCGAAACCCCAUCUCUACUAAAAAUACAAAAAUUAGCUGUACGUGGUGGCGCACACCUAUAAUCCAAGCUACUUGGGGGACUGAGGAAGGAGAAUCGCUUGAACUCGGGAGGUGGAGGUCGCAGUGAGCCGAGAUACGCCACUGCACUCCAGCCUGCGUGAUGAGAGCAAGACUGCAUCUCAAAAAAAAAAGUAUUCUGAGCCAGGUGCAGUGGCUUCCAGCACUGUGGGAGGCCAAGGGUGGGUAGGUCACUUGAGGUCAGGAGCUUGAGACAAGCCUGGCCAACAUGGAGAAACCCUGUCUCUAUCAGAACUCCAAAAAUUAGCUGGGUGUGAUGGCAGGCACCUGUAAUACCAGCGACUCAGGAGGACAAGGCAGGAGAAUCACUUGAACCCAAGAGGCGGACGCUGCAGUGAGCUGAGAUGGUGCCACUGCACUCCAGCCUGGGCAACAGAGCGAGACUUCGUCUCAAAAAAAAAAAAGUUUUCUACUCUCCCAGAGGUGAUCAGUUGACAUUUGUGCUAGGGUCCUUGAAGAGCUGAUUCAGAUACAACUAAAAUGUUAGCAGGCACUAGCUCAGCCCUCUCCUGCCACCCACUACUUAUUCUCAUCUCUUCCCUAAAUAUUAGUACCCUUUUCUUCCAGCCCAGAGCUAGACUUCUGGAUGCUGAGCCUGGGAAAAUACUGAAUUUCUCUCAUUUUUCACUUUUAGGAGGGAACGGUUAUGGCAUAUACUUGCAGUGCCAUUAGAAGCAUUGGCAAUCCCUGAUCUUUUUGAUAGUUUAAGGCUUAGAAUCAUCAAAAGUUCCAGGUUCAUAUCCUUCUAAAAUGGAAGAAAUGGAGGAAGUUCCAAGUGUGGUACAAUACUGAACUUCCUUUUAUCCUUCCUUGAUUUUUUUUUUUUUUUGAGAUGGAGUCUUGCUUUGUCACCCAG